rnacentral:rRNA from 1 species
UACGAAGGGGGCUAGCGUUGUUCGGAAUUACUGGGCGUAAAGCGCACGUAGGCGGACUAUUAAGUCAGGGGUGAAAUCCCGGGGCUCAACCCCGGAACUGCCUUUGAUACUGGGAAUCUCGAGUCCGGGAGAGGUGAGUGGAACUGCGAGUGUAGAGGUGAAAUUCGUAGAUAUUCGCAAGAACACCAGUGGCGAAGGCGGCUCACUGGCCCGGUACUGACGCUGAGGUGCGAAAGCGUGGGGAGCAAACAGG